rnacentral:lncRNA from 10 species
GUAGACUCAGAGAAAACUUGCGAAGUUUAGGAUGGAGCUGAAGAGACUGGGUUCCGUCCUACGAUAAGGCAAAGGCACACCAUGAUGAGAAGUACCAGGACAGGCAGGAUCACAGCCAGAGCCACUGCUGAGGGGGAGAGACUCCCCACAGAUGGGGCUGAAACAGAAACCACCAACGACUGACCUCAGGGAGAUGUCUAAGAGCUUCUGGCAUGCCUCAGAUGGCAGGCGGCUCCAGCACAUCCCAACACUCUCCAUCACCUCUAGGGAGAGAGCUCCGGCCAAGAGGCUCUUUGCUUCUCUGAUAACUCAAGCCCUGGAUAGCAUUAAAGAUAACUGAGGCUGGGAACGGUGGCUCACGCCUGUAAUACCAGCACUUUGGGAGGCAGAGGCAGGAGGAUCAUCUGAGAUCAGGAGUUCAAGACCAGCUGGCCAAUGUGGGGAAACUCCGUGUCUACUAAAAAUACAAAAAUUAGCCAGGUGUGGUGGCGGGCACCUGUAAUCCCAGCUCUUC